AACGUAGGACGCAAGCGUUAUCCGGAUUUACUGGGCGUAAAGCGCGGGCAGGCGGUCUUGCCAGUCUGAUGUGAAAUCUCCCCGCUCAACGGGGAGCAGCCAUUGGAAACUACAAGACUGGAGUCUGACAGAGGUAGGCGGAAUUCCGGGUGGAGUGGUGAAAUGCGUAGAGAUCCGGAGGAACACCAGAGGCGAAGGCGGCCUACUGGGUCAGUACUGACGCUGAGCCGCGAAAGCCAAGGGAGCGAACGGG
rnacentral:rRNA from 1 species